GAUCACAUUCAGAACCCAACUCGGAUCACUUUAUUAUUAAAACUCAUCAGAGGAAUAUCCUUAAUCAAAAGAGAGUAAGUAGUAAUGGAGCUGAAACCCUCGCUUAUGUCAGCCUUUCUGGUCAUCUUCUUGGUCAUGGCAGCAUCUAAAGAAUUAAGGGGUGAAGCAAGAGGAGCCUUUCGUUGCCCCAAAAUGAUAGAGUGCAACAGCGUGUGCCAAGGCUACCCCAACUGCUGCAUCAAUGGCCAGUGCCUUUGUCAAUCCUGCCGUACUCUUCUUCCACCGCCGCUUCCACCGUCUUGUCAAGCCAGAAAUUGCAAACAAAAUUAGAUCUUCUGUUACUUUUAGGUCUCUCUUUUUCUUUUUUCUUUCAAUUUCAACCAAAUAAUUGCUGAUCCAAAUGAAAGUGAUAUAUAAUUGAGUAGUUUUUUUUUCCCUACAAGUGUGAAUUGAGUCCGUAUAUAUUGCAGCCAUUGUUAUUAUUAUUAA